ensembl:lncRNA
GGUCAGGUGUUUCUCUCUGCCCCUCCUUGCUUCAAAGCUCACUCUUUGGCGAUAGUCGCUUGCGUCCAUGACCGCCGCUCUCACCCAGGGGCCUAUUCUGCUUGGCUCCAGCUCUCACCAAGCCCUGGUUACUAUCACGUUCCUUAUUCCUUAGAUCACUGAGGUUGAGGUGGUAAUGGUUCCUUUCUUGAGGUGGUAAUGUGGAGUCAUUCCUACACUCCGAUUUUACUCCCUUAACCUUGCCCACACAUAUGCCAAAGACAUUUUUUCAAAGUGUCUUCAUUUGAGCCCUCUGGGGAAAACUGCUUUUCCUGUGGGGCCCUGACGCAUCUUACCUUGUCCAUUGCCUAAACUGACAGCGCUUCUCUGACAGGAUCCUUGGAUCAUUUUCAGAGCACUGCUGCCAACACGUCUUCCCUUACUUCUUAUAUGCGAUACCCAGGCUCUGAUCCACUCUGUUCCUUCCAUGUGGAAAAGUUGAUUCUACUCCCAGUCACCAUCAGCCAGUCCCGUCACAAGGGCCUGGUGGUGGAUGUUGGUGGACAUUGUCAAGGCUCUGACCCUACAGCUAUGUCCUCUUCUCACUGUCCCCAGGCAGGACUCCUACUUGAAGAGAAACAGUGCCUGAGUGAAGAGCAGGAACAAUACAGGAGGAUGUUAAACAGGAAAGAAAAGAAAGACAGAUGCGUAAACAACUGUCUGGACCUCUCAGACAUUAGUCAAGUAAGAGAAGUAUUUCCAUGUUGGACAGGAGAUGACAGAUCUUCCAGGAGGGAAUGAAUCUGCCUACAAUGCAAGAAUACUGGAGUGGGUUGCCAUGGCCUCCUCCAGGGGAAUCUUUCCAACCUAGGAAUCGAACCCCUGUCUCUUACACCUUCUGCACUGGCAGGGAGGUUCUUUACUACUCUUGCCACUUGGGAAGACCUGAGUCUGAAGGGUUAUAUCUCUAGAAAGAUAUUGAGGAUAACAGGACCACUUCACUUUUUUUUUAAAGUUUCCCCUCCUCCCUCCCUCUAUUCCUGUUUCUCCUUCUGUUUCUCUUUUUACUCCCUCUUCCUCAACUUGAUUUGGAAGUUUCAGACUCAGCACUCGUUUGCUACACCAAGGGGGCAAGAACUAACGUUUCACACCUUUGUUUCUUAGCAAAGUGCAUAGUAUGUUCAUCAAAAAAACCAAUUCAAGAAAUUUUUCCUGGGAUUUCCCUGGUGGUCCAGUGGCUAAGACUCUGUACUCCCAUCGCAAGGAGGCUGGUUUUAAUCCCUGGUCAGGAAACUAUAUCCUAAGCUAAGCUAAGCUAAGUCACUUCAGUCCUG